ensembl:lncRNA ALG9-IT1 ALG9 intronic transcript 1
AAACAAAAAAAAUGGGCUCUUUGGUUAUACUUUAAGGCAGAUUUAAAUCCAGUCUUUUGAUUUUUGAAUUGUAGAUGAUGUGGUUAUGAUCUCAGAUUUUGCAGUGUGAGAUAUUUAUAAAAUUGAGAGAAUAAAUUUAUUCUCUCUGGUUGUAAUUCAAGUCAUGUUACUUUAGCUUUUAGACCUAUGGGGCAGUAGACAGUUGGUGUUUUCAGGGAUAUAAACUGAGGACUCUCAAGCUAAAAAUAGUCACAGUAAAACAAUAUAUAUAACAUGAUCCAGAUCUUGUAAAGAAAAAUCAAUAUCUGCAGAGAAGUUCUGGGAUAUACACUAAUAGGCUGAUGGUGAUUUUCUUUGGGUCGAGACUGCAGUGAGUUUUGUUUUUUAUUUUUUUUUGAGUCAGAGUCUCGCUCUGUCUCCCAGCCUGGAGUGCAGUGGCGUGAUCUUGGCUCACAGACUGCAGUGAGUUGUGAUUUGCACUACUACACUCCAGCCCGGGUGACUGAGUGAGUCCCUGUCUAGAAAGAAAGAAAUAUCAGAAGGCAUUAUCACUUCACAACUGAAUAUUACAGUAGUAACUAGAGUGCUUACUUCAGCUUUUUCCUCCAACACUUUCUUGCCUCAUCCUCCGCAGCAUAGCUAGUAUAGGCCUCUCUUUCUAAGACCCUGUUUUUUAUCAUCUUA